rnacentral:rRNA from 1 species
UACGUAGGGGGCAAGCGUUGUCCGGAUUUAUUGGGCGUAAAGAGCGUGUAGGCGGCCAGAUAGGUCCGUUGUGAAAACUCGAGGCUCAACCUCGAGACGCCGAUGGAAACCAUUUGGCUAGAGUCCGGAAGAGGAGAGUGGAAUUCCUGGUGUAGCGGUGAAAUGCGCAGAUAUCAGGAAGAACACCCGUGGCUAAGGCGGCUCUCUGGGCCAUUACUGACGCUGAGGAACGAAAGCUAGGGGAGCAAACAGG